rfam:Gossypium arboreum cultivar AKA8401 contig_857_7, whole genome shotgun sequence.
UAUUAAAAUUUUAUUCAUUUUUACUAUUAAAAUCUUGCACAAUUGAUAGAAUAACCAAAUAGUGACACGUGGCGUACCACUUGUACCUUAUGUUGACAUACAAUGGCCGAUUUUUAACAGUAGAAAUAGAUGAAAAUUUUAUCA